ensembl:snRNA U6 U6 spliceosomal RNA
GUGCUCGCUCCGGCAGCACACGUACUAAAACUGGAACGGUACAGAGAUCAGCACGGCUCCCCGCGAGGACGACACGCAAAUUCGUGAAGCUUCCGUAUUUGUC